CAGUAAGAAGAAGGACAAAGAUUCUUUAGCUGCCCCAGCAAAGCAGCGUAACGCGUCACCAAAGGUCCAGCCAGUGAAGGAGAAGAAGAAGAAGGACGCUGCUGGUGGUGGCUUCAGCAACUCACUGAAGAAGUUCUUUGCAUGUGGAAAGACAGAAAAG